GCUGCUAGUCUAGAAAAAAGCUCGGUGCUUAACGGAAAAGUUGGGAGCUUUGUGGCCGCGCGCAGUGGCUGACGCCUGUAAUCCCGGCACUUUGGGAGGCGGAGGCGGGCGGAUCAUGAGGUCAAGAGAUCGAGACCCUCCUGGCCAACGUGGUGAAACCCCUUCUCUACUAAAAAUGCAUUGUGAAGAAUCUGCAAUUCCAGUUCUGGGAAAUCAUCCCAAAGGAAAUCAUCUGUGGGAUACGCAGCUAUUGAUUUAAAGAGCGAGUACUAUGGACCAUCAUGAGCUUUGAAAUCUUGGGUAUAACUUGAAGAUUUGUUCACAGGCACAAUACGUUUAAAAAGCGACGUAUAAAAGAAUUUAUUGCCUGUAGUCCCAGCUACUGAGGAUGCCACCAGCAAACCGAGUUACCUCCCCACUUUGUGUAGGUGGCAAAGAAGGAACAUCCAAUCGGAAAAGGCAAUCAGGUU
rnacentral:lncRNA from 10 species